UGAGGAAUAUUGGACAAUGGGCGCAAGCCUGAUCCAGCCAUGCCGCGUGCAGGAAGACGGNCCUAUGGAUUGUAAACUGCUUUUGUACNGGAAGAAACAUCCCUACGUGUAGGGACUUGACGGUACUGUAAGAAUAAGGAUCGGCUAACUCCGUG
rnacentral:rRNA from 1 species